CCAAUAGCGUAUAUUAAAGUUGUUGCAGUUAAAAAGCUCGUAGUUGAACUUCGGGGUUUACCCAUUGGUCAGGCUUAAUUGUCUGUACUGGUGAGAUGAGUCUCUACCUUCUGAGGAACUUUCAUGCCAUUUAUUUGGUGUGAUGGGAAAUCAGGACUGUUACUUUGAAAAAAUUAGAGUGUUUAAAGCAGGCUAACGUCUGAAUACAUUAGCAUGGAAUAAUGAAAUAGGACGGACUGAUUCUAUUUCGUUGGUUUCUAGGAUCACCGUAAUGAUUAAGAGGGGUAGUUGGGGGGAUUAGUAGUCAAUUGUCAGAGGUGAAAUUCUUGGAUUUAUUGAAGACUAACUACUGCGAAAGCAUUUGCCAAGGAUGUUUUCAUUAAUCAAGAACGAAAGUUAGGGGAUCGAAGACGAUCAGAUACCGUCGUAGUCUUAACCAUAAACUAUGCCGACUAGGGAUCGGACGAAGUUAAUUUUAUAAUGACGCGUUCGGCACCUUACG
rnacentral:rRNA from 1 species